rnacentral:lncRNA from 1 species
AGAUCAGGAACCGCCGCAGUCCCGCUCGCCUCCCUGCUUGCCUGUCCCCCUUUCUUUAUUUCUCGCGCCCCUCGCCAAGGGUCCUCCAUUUCUCCAAACCGGAUUAUUUAAAAGAGUAAAAGAAAGAAAGAAAGAAAAAAGUCCAUCUCAUUGCUCUAACCGCCAUUCAGGAGGCUGGAUGUCAGUUUUGAAAGAAACGGCGCUAUUCUCCACUUCUAGAUUUGGGAAACGAGCGAAAUUAAAGAAAAUUGCUGCGACAUCUGGACACUGAGUGGCGCUGGCGCCGCUGGAGCAGCGGGCACAGCGCCGGACCAGGUGAGAAAACUGAGGCCUAGAGGAACUCAUAUCUUGGAUACUUUAUGGCCAGCAGGUGCCAGGACUGGAAUCACUAAGAGGGUCUUUGAACUACAAGUCUUGUGCUCUUUCUGUUUUACUAAAGACCAGAGUCAAUAGGGAGUGAGCUAUUGAUGGGUCAUUUGUGCAGACAGAAGAUCACUGAAUAUUGGAGCUUUUCUUUGUUCUCUUCCUUUGGCCUAAAAACUGACUCAGAGAAUGGAGGAAAAUGAUUUUCUGUUUUUUAAAAUGAUUUUCUAUUUUGGAUCAGCAAAUUCAUCCCUCAGGCAGAGACAGGAGAGGGCAUUUUUUUUUAACAUUCCUUGUCUGUGCCACCCCACCCAACCUCCAGCCCUGACAUUCCAGGACAUUGGCUUUUUCCUUCAGAUAUCCCUUGAUUAUCAAAAUUCGGUGAGAAAUUUCCUUAAAUAUUGCACAUGCUCAAACUGAAAGCUCCAAAGGUAUAAGACAAAAGACACUGUAAGAUAAAUAAACUAUUAUUUGGACAUAUAUAACAAAACAUCAACCUCUAGAAUAUGUAAAUAAAUACAUAAAUGAGAAAAAAAUACCUUUUGGAAAAAUUAGCAAAUAAUAUGAUGGCUAAGUGAUAUACAAAUAGUCAAAUGGCCAAAAUUAGGAAAAUAUAUUGUUUUACUCAUUAGUAAAGAAAUGUAACAAAAAAUGCUGACAUAUACCUAUAUGUGUGGCAAAAAUAAAAGGAGUGAUAACAUUAGCAAAGUUGUGAGAAAAUAAUCAUUCUUAUAUACUAUUGUAACUUGGGGCAUUCAUUUUGAGAGGCAACUUUGCAGUACUUAUCAAAACUGUAUGUGCGUAUACAUACCCUUUGACUCAGCAAUUCCACUCCUAGAACCUACAUAAUUAUGCAAAUAUAUACACACAUAAAUAUAUGUAUGGAAAUAUAUAUUAUAUAUGCAGUGUGUGCAUAUAUAUAUGUAUAGCAAUGAAUAUUACAUAUGUAUGCAUGUAUGCAUUACCCUUCGACUCAGCAAUUCCACUCCUAUAAGUGGAAUUAUGUAAGUAUGAAAACAUGCCCCUGACUCUGUGGGCAGAGCAGAGGUUUGGAAACCAAAUUUCUGAAAUAGAACCUUUCAUGUCUCUGUU